rnacentral:tRNA from 1 species
GCCCCCGUAGCCCAACGGCAGAGGCAGUCGACUUAAAAUCGAUCCAGUAUGGGUUCGAAUCCCAUCGGGGGCA